AGGACGAACGCUGGCGGCGUGCUUAACACAUGCAAGUCGAGCGGAAAGGCCCUUUCGGGGGUACUCGAGCGGCGAACGGGUGAGUAACACGUGAGUAACCUGCCCCAGUCUUUGGGAUAACCCUCGGAAACGGGGGCUAAUACCGGAUAUUACUGCUCAUCGCAUGGUGGGUGGUGGAAAGUUUUUCGGUCUGGGAUGGGCUCGCGGCCUAUCAGCUUGUUGGUGGGGUGAUGGCCUACCAAGGCGACGACGGGUA
rnacentral:rRNA from 1 species